AUUGAACGCUGGCGGCAGGCCUAACACAUGCAAGUCGAGCGGAUGAGGGGAGCUUGCUCCUCGAUUCAGCGGCGGACGGGUGAGUAAUGCCUAGGAAUCUGCCUAGUAGUGGGGGACAACGUUUCGAAAGGAACGCUAAUACCGCAUACGUCCUACGGGAGAAAGUGGGGGAUCUUCGGACCUCACGCUAUUAGAUGAGCCUAGGUCGGAUUAGCUAGUUGGUAGGGUAACGGCCUACCAAGGCGACGAUCCGUAACUGGUCUGAGAGGAUGAUCAGUCACACUGGAACUGAGACACGGUCCAGACUCCUACUGGAGGCAGCAGUGGGGAAUAUUGGACAAUGGGCGAAAGCCUGAUCCAGCCAUGCCGCGUGUGUGAAGAAGGCCCUCGGGUCGUAAAGCACUUUAAGUUGGGAGGAAGGGCUUACAGCGAAUACCUGUGAGUUUUGACGUUACCGACAGAAUAAGCACCGGCUAACUUCGUGCCAGCCGCCGCAGUAA
rnacentral:rRNA from 1 species